UCAUUCGGAUUUGCCAUCAUACGUCCAACCGUGCAUUUGAUAUGCAUAUAUAUGCAUCACGAGCAACGGUUGGGCUGUAUGAUGGCGAUACCGAUUGG
rnacentral:pre_miRNA from 1 species